ACCCGCUGAACUUAAGCAUAUCAAUAAGCGGAGGAAAAGAAACCAACAGGGAUUGCCCUAGUAACGGCGAGUGAAGCGGCAACAGCUCAAAUUUGAAAUCUGGCGCAAGCCCGAGUUGUAAUUUGUAGAGGAUGCUUCUAGGUAGCGACCGGUCUAAGUUCCUUGGAACAGGACGUCAUAGAGGGUGAGAAUCCCGUAUGUGACUGGCCCGCACCUUCUACGUAGCUCCUUCGACGAGUCGAGUUGUUUGGGAAUGCAGCUCUAAAUGGGAGGUAAAUUUCUUCUAAAGCUAAAUACCGGCCAGAGACCGAUAGCGCACAAGUAGAGUGAUCGAAAGAUGAAAAGCACUUUGGAAAGAGAGUUAAAAAGCACGUGAAAUUGUCGAAAGGGAAGCGCUCACAACCAGACUUCUAGGCCGUGUUCCGCCGGUCUUUUGACCGGUCUACUCUCUGUCUCGAGGCCAACAUCAUCUGGGACCGCCGGAUAAGACCUUAGGAAUGUAGCUCCCCUCGGGGAGUGUUAUAGCCUCUGGUGAUGCGGCGCGUCUCGGGUGAGGUCCGCGCUUCGGCAAGGAUGUUGGCGUAAUGGUUGUCAGCGGCCCGUCUUGAAACACGGACCAAGGAGUCUAACAUCUAUGCGAGUGUUCGGGUGUCAAACCCCUACGCGUAAUGAAAGUGAACGGAGGUGGGAAGCGUAAGCCGCACCAUCGACCGAUCCUGAUGUCCUCGGAUGGAUUUGAGUAAGAGCAUAGCUGCUGGGACCCGAAAGAUGGUGAACUAUGCCUGAAUAGGGUGAAGCCAGAGGAAACUCUGGUGGAGGCUCGCAGCGGUUCUGACGUGCAAAUCGAUCGUCAAAUUUGGGUAUAGGGGCGAAAGACUAAUCGAACCAUCUAGUAGCUGGUUCCUGCCGAAGUUUCCCUCA
rnacentral:rRNA from 1 species